GAGAGAGAGAGUGAGUGGGAGGAGAGGCAGAGGGAAUCUUCAAGCAGACUCGCUGCUGAGUGCAGAGCCCCACAUGUGGCUUGAUCCCAUGACCCAUGAGAUCAUGACCUGAGCCGAAACCAAGAGUCAAAUGCUUAGCCGACUGAGUCAUUCAGGCACCCCACUUAAAAAUAAAAUCUUGAAAAAAAAAAAAACCUUGAUGGAAAAUGGACAUAAACAAGCAAUUUAUUAAAGGAUUUAGGACAUUAGCAAGCAAUUUACUAAAAAGGAAACAUUUAACCUGAAGAAAUUAUUAUUCAUUAUUAGUUAAAGAAUGCAAACUAAAAUAAUUGGCAAGAGUAUGGAGAAAGAUUCAACAGACAAUAAGGAUAAAACAGUUAAUCUCAUCAGCAUCUGAGGGCAGGAAAUGAGAUACAUAUAUCUGUGAUACUGCAUGGGAACUGAAAACUUAGGAAUCAAUACCCAUUUCUCUACUUCUCUUUAAGAGAGGGAAAGUAUUGAUUAAUUAUAGUAAGACUGUCUGCUUUUGUGGAAUGCUCACUUGAGUAAGGUUUUAUGGUUUCCUCCAGCAAAAUUCAGUUACUUAUGUGCAGGCUUGGAGUAAGAAGGCAACCAGGUGUGAUCAGGAUGGGGAUCCUGCAGUAAAGAGUAUGACAGAAGAGAGGAAGGCAAGAGGGACACGAGAACAUGAGGCAGCCGCUGGUGUCUGGACAUGGCACCAGGGCUGGCUGUGAAGGAAAGUUGACGUGAAGGGAGGAAGUGAUGUCAAUGAAAAUGGUGCUGUAAGGACCUCUGAAAAUUCUCUCCUCCGUAAAAGCAAUGAGAAACUGGCAAAAAUUAUCAGAAGCAACUUUUUCAUAACUCUGGAAAUUAAUCAAAGGUUUGCAGCAACUUAGGGAGUGUUUAUUCAAGAAAAAACAGCUGACUCUUGAUAAGAGCAGUGAGCGUUGUGGGAUUUUAACUUGCCAUGUUCUCAUCCCCUCUCUCUAGCUCUGCAUAGUCUUAAAAACCAACAGUGAAAAACCAAACCAAACAAAACAAACCAACAGUGACAAACAUGGUGAACGCCAGCAUGUUGGAGCUCCUUCAAAGCCUUAUUCUCAGCUGGUGUGCAGCUGAGAUUCUCCUAGUGCUUCUUGCAGAAGAAAUUGCACCUAAGUUAUGUUCAAAUUAUUCCCUAAUAUAUCAAUUGUGUUGGAACAAAUUCAAGUUUUCAAAACAAGCAUUAUAGCAGAACUGCUGUCCCAUCGGCCUUUUUCAAAAAAUAGAUAUUGAGGAGCUGAUUCUAAAACCACAGUCAGAUAUCACCUCACACCAGUCAGAAUGGCAAGAAUCAAAAAGAUAAGAAAUAACAGGUGUUGGUGAGGCUGUGGAGAAGAAGGAACCCUUGUGCACUGUUGGUGGAAAUGAAAAUUGGUGCAACCACUGUGGAAAGCAGUGUGGAGGUUCCUCAAAAAAUUAAAAAUAGACCUACUAUGGGGCGCCUGAGUGGCUCAGUCGGUAAGGCUCCAACUCUUGGUUUCCAUUUCAGGUCAUGAUCUCAUGGGUUGUGAGAUCAAGCCCUGCAUUGGGCUUCGUGCUCAGCAGGGAGUCUGCUUGGGAUUCUCUCCCUCUGUUCUUCCCAUCCCUACUCUCUCUCAAAUAAAUAAAUAAAUAAAAUCUUUAAAAAAAUGGAAAUACCAUAUCAUCUAGUAAUUCCACUACUGGGUGUUUACCCAAAGAAAAUAAAACCAUGAAUUCUAAAUAUACAUGCACUCCUACAUUUUUUGCAGCAUUGUUUACAGUAGCCAGGAUAUAGAAGCAACCCAGGUGUCCAUCGAUAGAUAAAUGGGUAAAGAAGAUGUGGUACAAUAUAUAUAAUAGAGUAUUACUCAGUCACAAAAAAGAAUGAGAUCUUGCCAUUUGCUACAACAGGAAUGGACCUGGAGGGUAUUAUGCUAAGUGAAAUAAGACAGAGAAAAACAAAUACCAUCUGAUUUCACUUAUAUGUGGAAUCUAAAAAAAAAAAAAAAAAAGCAAAUGAGCAAACAAGCAAAAUAAACAGACUCUUAAAUAUGGAGAACAUACUGAUGGUUGCCAGAGAGGAAGUAUGUCGGGGAACGGAUAAAAUAAAACCAACAGACAAGCAAACAAACAAAUAAAUAAAAUUCAUGUGGAAAUGCAAAGGACCAUGAAUAGCCAAAACAACUUUGAGAAACAACAAAGUUGGAGAACUAACCCUACUUGAUUUCAAGUCUUAUAAAGCUAUAGUAAUCAAGAUGGUGUGGUAUUGGUGUAAAGGUAGACCGGAAUAGAGUUUCAGAAAUAAACACACACAUGUAUAUGGACAACUAAUUUUUUUCUUUAAAGAUUUUAUGUAUGUAUGUAUUUAUUUAUUUAUUUAUGCAUAUAGAGAGCACAAGCCGGGGGAGGGGCAGAGGGAGAAGGAGAGAGAGAAUCCCAAGCAUACCCUAUGCUGAGCACUGAGCCCAAUGCUGGGCUGGAUCCCAUGACCUGGAGAUCAUGAACUGAGCCAAAAAUCGAGAGUCAGACGUUUAACUGACUGAGCCACUCAGGGGCCCCUGGACAACUGAUUUUUUAUGAGAUGCAAAGGCAAUGUGACAGAAGGGGCUGUAAAUGUUGGAUAUCCACAUGCAAAAAAAAAAAAAGGAAAAAAAGAACUUCAGUCUUUGCACCACAUAUAAAAUUUAACGCAAAAUGGAUCAUAGGCCUAAAUGUAAAAUGUAAAACCUAAAAAUAUAAAACUUGUAGAAGAAAGCACAGGAGAAAAUCUUCGUGACCUUGGGUUAGGCAAAGAUUUCUUAGAUAUGACAUCAAAAUAUGAUCCAUAAAAGAAAGAACAGACAAAUUUGAAUUUAUUGAAGUUAAACAUUUCUUUUUUUUUUUAAUUAAACAUUUCUGCUAUUUGAAGUCAUUGUUAAGAGAGUGAAAAGACAAGUCACAGACUGGGAAAAAAUUUGCAAAUCGUAUAUCUGAUAAAGGACUUGUGUCUAGAAUAUUUAAAUAACUAUAAACUUAGUAAUAAGAAAACACAAUUUUUUAAAUGGGGAAGAUUUGAACAGAUACUUCACCAAGAAAAAACAAGAUCUACUAAUGGCAAAAUAAAGCAUGUGAAAAGAUGCUCAACAUCAGUAGUCAAUAAGGAGAGUCAAUAAGGAAAUACAAAUUAAAAGACUGACCAAACUAAGUGUUGGUGAGGAUGUGGAGAAACUGAAACUCUCAUACAAUGCUGCUGGGGAUAUGAAAUGAGAACCCCACUUUGGAAAACAUUUUGGCAGUGAUUUAAAGAGUUAAACACUACUUACCAUAUGAUCCAGUUAUUCCAUUACUAGGUAUUUACCCAAGAGAAAAAGAAAUAUACAUCCAUAUAGAAUCUUGUGCAUGAAUGUUCGUGGCAGUUUUAUUUGUAAUAGCCAAUAACUAGAAACAACUGAAAUGCCCACCAACAGGUGAAUGGAUUUGAACAGAUUUAUAAAUUGUGGUACAAUGGAACAUGACUUAGCAAUGAAAACUGAAUGUCCGUAUCGAGAUACAUGAACAUGAAUAAAUUGCAAAAUAUUUAUGCUGAGUAAAGGGAACUAGACAAAAAAGUGCAUACUGUAUGAUUCCAUUUGUAUAAUAUUCUAGAAAGCACAAACUAAGCUGUAGUGGCAAAAAGACCAGUGGUUGCCUGGGAGGGACGGAUUACCAAGGGACACAAGAAAACUUUUGGAGGUGGUAGAUUCGUUCAUUAUCUUGACCAUAGUGAUGAUUUCAUAGGAGUGUACAUAUGUCAAAGCUUAUCAAACUGUAUACUUUAAAUAUGUGUAGCUUAGGGCGCCUGGGUGGCUCAGUUGGUUAAGCGACUGCCUUCGGCUCAGGUCAUGAUCCUGGAGCCCUGGGAUCGAGUCCCGCAUCGGGCUCCCUGCUCAGCGGGGAGUCUGCUUCUCCCUCUGACCCUAUCCCCUCUCAUGUGUUCUCUCUCAUUCUCUCUCUCUCAAAUAAAUAAAUAAAAUCUUAAAAAAAAAAAGAUUUCAUUAAAAAAAAUAUGUGCAGCUUAUUAUGUCGAUUAUAGUCCACUUUAAACAAAUUAUGAGAGGAGUGAUAGAAAGUGAAAAAGUCACCGGAGCCAGUGAAUUAGAAGUCUUGGAAUCAGAUCAAUAUAGAAGGUGAUGGUCUGCGGGUGGGAAGUUAGACAGGAUUUCCAUUUUCUGGUGGAGUCAACAUGGGAAAGAAUACGUUUUCACUUUUUGUUCUUAGUGGCCUCUUUUCCUUUGUAACCCAGCCUAGGACACCGGAAAUAUGGGUACCUAGGUUGAGUAACCGCCUGCGCCCUGCGGAGAAGGAAGAGCUGCCCAACUGCGUCCCCAUCGGAGCAGAUACAGUCCUCUGCGUUGGGGGUGGGGGACACUUGGCGCACAGAGGGGCUGGUAGGGACAAGGAGAUACAGGAACAGGUGUACAGUAUAGUGAUUCAACACUUGCAACAUCACCCAGUGUUCAUGGCCUCAGAGACCUCACUGGCUGGUGUAUAUAUCAGAGAAGAAGAGAGAAAAUGAAGGAGAAGGACCGAACAUGGAUUUUAUUUUUAAGUAAUCUCUACACCCAACAUGGGGCUUGAAAUUACAACCCUGGGAUGAAGAGUCGCACAAUCUUCCAGCUGAGCCAGCCAGGCACCCCAGGAUCAGAGAGGUUUUACAAAUUAUGAAUGGCUAUUAAAAAUGAAAAUGUAGGGACACCUGGGUGGCUCAGUCGGUUAAGCGUCUGCCUUUGGCUCAGGUCAUGAUCCCAGUGUCCUGGGAUCAGCCCUGAAUCGGGCUCCUUGCUCAGCAGGGAGCCUGCUUCUCUCUCUGCCUGCCACUCCCCCUGCUUGUGCUCUCUCUCUGACAAAUAAAUAAAAUCUUAAAAAAAAAAAGAAAAUGUAAAGUGAUACUGUUUACAAUAGAAUCAAAAACAUCAAAUGCCUAGGAAUAAAUCUAACAAAAGAUGUACAAGCCCAAUGUAGAAAACUACAAAUGUUGAGAGAAAUUAAAUUUAAAAAGAAUCUAUCUUGCUCAUUGUUUGAAAGAUUCAAUAUUGUAAAGAUGGGAAAUUUCCCCCAAGUUGAUCUAUAAAUCCAAUCCAAUCUCAAUUAAAAUUUGAGCAAGUUUUUGUUGUUUUGUCUUGUUGUGUUUUAGAAAUGAACAAGUUGAGGGCGCCUGGGUGGCUUAGUCGGUUAAGCAUGUGACUUCGGCUCAGGUCAUGAUCCCAGGGUCCUGGGAUUGAGCCCCACAUCAGGCUCCCUGCUCCGCAGGGAGUCUGUUUCUCCCUCUCCCUCUGCCCCUCCCCCCGCUUGUGCUUUCUCUCUCUCAAAUAAAUAAAAUCUUUAAAAAAAAAAAAGAAAUGAACAAGUUGAUUCUAAAAUGAAUAUGAAAACACAAAGGGCCAAGAAUAGCCAAGAAAUUUAGAGGGAUGAAGGAGAAAGCUGUAGGCUUUACAUUAGUAGAUAUUGAGAAGUAUGAGAAAGCUAUAAUAGUAAGACAGUGUGGCAUUGGCUCAAGAACAGACCAGUAGACCAAUGGACUAGAAUAGAGGUCAGAAACAAAUCCACACAUAACCCUGACAGUGAAGAGCUGGUUGGGGGAAGCUAGGUUUUUCAAUAAAUGGUGCUGGGUCUAUGGGAUAUGUUGUGAAAAACCAAAAGAAUCUUGAUUCCUGUCUGAUACUAUAUGGUUGGAAAAAUUUAUGCUUCCAUGGAAAACUGCAUUUUUGUAGCAUAGCCUCUGGGUUAUCUGAUUGUGAUUUUAUGGCAACUCUUUUACAACUCUGUAAAUUGUAGAUAGCUGAUAGCAAAGCAAAAUUCAUGAAAAUAAAUUCUGUCUGGUGGAGGGACACCAUCCCCCCGCCCCCGUGGAAAAACUUAUUUUGCCUCAAUUUGCAUAUUCAUUUCAAUAUUCCUGAUCUAUAAAUGUGUCUGUUCUUUGGACCCACUUUUGAACAGGCCGAAACACCUUGCCAGUUUUUCUUCUUAAUAAGUUAAAUAAAUUUUUAAUGGGUGAGUUUUUAUAUCUGUACGAGAGUC